AAGAUGUUAGUAAAUAUACAUUACAUUGUCUUGUCAAGACAAUAUAAUAAGACAAACCCUUAUACAUCUUA
rnacentral:tRNA from 1 species